rnacentral:rRNA from 1 species
UACUAGCGGUCCAAGUCGCAGCCAUUUUUAUUGGGUCUAAAACAUCCGUAGCUUGUUUGAUAAGUUCUCUGUGAAAUCCUACAUCUUAAAUGUGGGGCGUGCAGAGAAUACUGUCAAGCUAGAGACUGGAAGACGUAAGAAGUAUGAUCAAAGUAGUGGUAAAAUACUUUAAUCUUGGUCAGACUCACAAUAGCGAAGGCAUCUUACGAGGACAGUUCUGACAGUAAAGGAUGAAGGCUAGGGGCGCAAAACGGAUUAGAUACCCGCGUA